rnacentral:rRNA from 2 species
GAAGGGUGCAAGCGUUACUCGGAAUUACUGGGCGUAAAGCGUGCGUAGGUGGUCGUUUAAGUCCGUUGUGAAAGCCCUGGGCUCAACCUGGGAACUGCAGUGGAUACUGGGCGACUAGAAUGUGGUAGAGGGUAGCGGAAUUCCUGGUGUAGCAGUGAAAUGCGUAGAGAUCAGGAGGAACAUCCAUGGCGAAGGCAGCUACCUGGACCAACAUUGACACUGAGGCACGAAAGCGUGGGGAGCAAACAGGAUUAGAUACCCUGGUAGUCCACGCCCUAAACGAUGCGAACUGGAUGUUGGGUGCAAUUUGGCACGCAGUAUCGAAGCUAACGCGUUAAGUUCGCCGCCUGGGGAGUACGGUCGCAAGACUGAAACUCAAAGGAAUUGACGGGGGCCCGCACAAGCGGUGGAGUAUGUGGUUUAAUUCGAUGCAACGCGAAGAAC